GUGCUCACCUCAGCAGCGUAUGUACUAAAAUUGAAAUGAUACAGAGAUUAGCAUGCAAGGAUGACAUGCAAAUUCUUGAAGUGCUCCAUAUUUUU
ensembl:snRNA U6 U6 spliceosomal RNA